AAUAAGUGCAGCCAUGAGUUUCCGUGUCCAAUUUUAAUCGUUCGUUUUAUUUAAAAAUUUUUUGAAAAAACUUUAAAAAAUAAGCCACGAGUAAAGUACUAUUCAUAUUUUAUCAUAUCAUAACAACAAAAAUACUAAUCAUAAAAAAAUUUCAAAUAAGACGGACGAUUAAAGUUGGGCGCGAAAACUCAUGGCUGCACUUAUU
rnacentral:pre_miRNA from 1 species